rnacentral:ncRNA from 2 species
UUCUACUCACGUGACUGGCGAAAAGUCGGCUUCCACCAAGGAGGCGGGCGAUAAGGUGGAUACCACCGGGGAACGUGAGUUUUUCAUCAGCCGUUCGCCUGGGCAGCCCAA